rnacentral:rRNA from 1 species
UACGGAGGAUCCAAGCGUUAUCCGGAUUCAUUGGGUUUAAAGGGUGCGUAGGUGGAAUGGUAAGUCAGUGGUGAAAUCCUGCGGCUCAACUGCAGAACUGCCAUUGAUACUGCCAAUCUUGAGUACAUUUGAAGUGGGCGGAAUGUGUCAUGUAGCGGUGAAAUGCUUAGAUAUGACACAGAACACCGAUUGCGAAGGCAGCUCACUGAACUGUAACUGACACUGAGGCACGAAAGCGUGGGGAUCAAACAGG